GAGCUGCACACCAGUGCCCACGCUGCCCUGGGGCAGAGAUGAAGGGCGUGUGAGGAUCCUCUUGUCUCAUCCCUGAAUCCUCUGGACAGAGAUGCGAAGGCAGGCCUCGGAGAGCGUGUCGUGCAGGAUCUGUGGGAACAGGCUGUGAUGCAGGCAGCACAUGGGACUCCCCCAGCUGGGACCCAGGCUGGACUAUACUAGGCCCUGCUGAGUUCACUGAGGCAGAAAGGGGAGACAGGACCUCACCUGCCGGAACAGGAGGUCAAGCUGCACAGGAUGGCUGUAGCUGUCCUUGGGGAAGAUCUUCCAGGGGGCGUCCUGAUAGCCGUAGAAGUUGGGAUUGAUGAGGCGGUGCAGCCGCGUCUGCCAGAGAAGGGGUUUCACCAUAUUGGCCAGGAUGGUCU